rnacentral:tRNA from 1 species
AGACUUGUAGUUUAUUAAAGAAUACUUUGUUUACACCAGAGUGGUAGAAAGUCUU